UACGUAGGGUCCGAGCGUUGUCCGGAAUUAUUGGGCGUAAAGGAGCUCGUAGGCGGUUUGUCGCGUCUGCUGUGAAAUCUGGAGGCUCAACCUCCAGCCUGCAGUGGGUACGGGCAGACUAGAGUGCGGUAGGGGAGAAUGGAAUUCCUGGUGUAGCGGUGGAAUGCGCAGAUAUCAGGAGGAACACCGGUGGCGAAGGCGGUUCUCUGGGCAUUACCUGACGCUGAGGAGCGAAAGCCAGGGGAGCAAACGGGG
rnacentral:rRNA from 1 species